UUCCAAUUAGUUCAGUUGGUUAGAACUCCACGCGCGGAUUAAUAUUUACAAUUUCAACGCCCUUGAGACUAGCCAGCGUGGAACCGCGGGUUCGACCUCCGCACUGAGUA